CUAACUCUCUUUCACUUCACCAUACUUGGCAUAUCUUCAUCUAAUCUCUCUAACCUUGCGCCUCCCUCAGAAAAAAAAAACCUAACUCAAUAUUUGUUUAAUCGGUGAUAUAACAAAGGAAUCAGUUUCAGUUUGAAACAAAUCAGAAACCCUCAUUGUUGUGUUGUAGAAACGAAACUAAAUCUCAAGAUCUCUUCAAAACAUUGCAAUUAAAAGUCAAAAUCGAACUCCAAAUUCUUUCAAUCAGAUUACUAAACCAGUUUCAUCUACAGAAGCUGUAAAAUAGAAGAUAGGGUUGUUGUGAUUCGAUUUGACAGUGAAGAUUUGAAGAUCUGUUGGUUUCCAUCAAGAAUAAAAAAUCUAGGGUUUGUGUUUGUUGUUGGUUUUUGCUGCCGCUGCUGUUAAGAAGAUGAGAAACGAGUGAUGAACAGAGAUGAAUGAAUCAGGUGGAGAUUUUGUAUAAAUAUAAAAUUUCGACAAGUGAAUUUUGUAUAAAUAUAAACUUCUCACCCAGGAAGCAUCACGAAUAGCUUCCUGAGUUGGUGUGAUUCGAUUUGACAGUGAAUUUCAAUUUCAAAAUCCGAAUUUCACCAAAUUUCAUAUAAAUAUAAAAUCCUCCCCAUUCGUGAAGCUAGGGUCAUAUAGCUUCUGCUGAAGCUAUUCGUGAUGCUUUUAGACUCGAAUUCGACGAUGAAUAUUGGGAGUACAUGGUCAGGGGCUUUCUCUCUUAUCGUGAGAAGUUGCUGCUCCUCUCUCCUGGAGAAAAUCCCAUGGAUCAAUCAUUUUGCCCAGACUCUGAUAGAGAGUGGUUGAAACUGAUAGUGCUGCGUGUGAGUUUGGGAAAUUUCUUAUUUUUCACCAUAUGCAACUUUCAUAAUUUUGGUCUUUUCUUGGCAAUUAAAAGGAAGGGUUGCCAUAAUUUAUGAGGCUGAAAUCUCAAUACACAGUGGUCAAUUUCAGGUACUGAAGCUUAUUUUCAUUCUCAGGCACAUGGAGUAAUUGAGAUGCCAAACCCCAAUCCUGAACAGUUAAUAUUUGAACCUUUCAUUGAGACAGAUCCCAUCAUUUUCUCUUCAAAAUCCACUAAUGAAAAUUCAAAAUCCACUAAAGCCUACUAUGGGUCAAUUUUAUGAAGCGCCAGUUUCUGGUAUUCGAGAAACCAAGGUUGCCUUCAGGACAAAGGCAUUCCACCCUAAUAUUAACAGCAGUGGGAGCAUUUGUCUUGACAUCUUGAUGAGGCAGACAGGAUGUUGGACAUGGAUUUUGAGCCACAGAUUCGGAAAAUUGUUAAUGAGAUACCUCCUCGACGCCAGACGCUGAUCUACACUGCAACUUGGCCCCAAGAAGUGCGUAAAAUUGCUGCCGAUUUACUAGUCAAGCUUGUUCAGGUUAACAUUGGGAAUACUGAUGAGCUUGCUGCAAACAAGCUUGAAAAAGUGAAAACUACAGGGAGACCCAUUCUCCCAGAUUUUUCCACUGAGAAACUCACGGAUAGAAAACUGAAGGCGUGCACCCAUUUUUUAGGGAAAAAUUAUUCUCACACCCAUAAUUUAUAAAAUUUUGUUUUGUUAUUUUUUCAAGCACUGAAAUCAGCUGCCAUCAACAUCAACUGGGAAACGAAUUUCUUCUUCC